CCUUUUGGCCAAAAAUGGUUAUGAAAUAUCAAUAAAAAAGGAUUAUUGCAAUAUCAUUUGGAAUGGUGCUGCUGUAAUGAAUGGAACUCUGAGUAAUGGCAUUUAUAUUUUGUCACAGCCUGUUCAUGUAAUGUACAAGUCCAAUAAGCGCCCUAAAAUAGAUAAUGUCACGGAUGUCUACCUUUGGCAUCAUAGGCUAGGACAUAUUAACAAGAACAGG
rnacentral:lncRNA from 1 species